UACAGGAAAAUCACCAUGGACUUAGGGCUGAUAUUGGUUUUCUCUGUCCUUAUUUUAAGAGGUGUCCAGUAUGAGGUGCAAUUGCUGGAGUCUGGGGGAGGCUUAGUGCAGCCUGGAAAGUCCCUGAAUCUCUCCUGUGCAGCCUCUGGAUUCACCUUCAGUAACUACUGGAUGAGCUGGGUCCUCCAGGCUCCUGGGAAGGGGCUGGAGUGGGUCGCAACCAUUAGUAGUAGUGGUAGCACCUACUAUACCGAUGCUGUGAAGGGCCGGUUCACAAUCUCCAGAGACAAUGCCAAGAACACUCUAUACCUGGAAAUGGGCAGUCUGAGGUCUGAAGACACAGCCAUCUAUUACUGUGAACAGUGA